ACCCGUCUAACUCAGUUGGUAGAGCGCGAGGCUCUUAACCUUGCGGUCGUGAGUUCCAGCCCCAUGGUGGGCG
rnacentral:tRNA from 1 species